GACGAACGCUGGCGGCGUGCUUAACACAUGCAAGUCGAACGGAAAGGCCCUGCUUUUGUUGGUUGCUCGAUUGGCGAACGGGUGAGUAACACGUGAGUAACCUGCCCUUUACUUUGGUAUAACUUCAGGAAACUUGGGCUAAUACCGGAUAUGAUCUCCUGCUGCAUGGUGGUGUUUGGAAAGUUUCGGCGGUUGGGGAUGGACUCGCGGCUUAUCAGCUUGUUGGUGGGGUAGUGGCUUACCAAGGCUUUGACGGGUAGCCGGACUGAGAGGGUGACCGGCAACAUAGGGACUGAGAUACGGCACAGACGGAUACGGGAGGCAGGAGUGGGGAAUAUAGAAAAAAGGCGGAAGCCUGAUGCAGAAACGCGGCGUGCGGGAUGAAGGCCUUCGGGUUGUAAACAGAUGUAGACUGAGACGAAGAGUGAGUGACGGUAAUGGGUAAAGAAGCAACGGCUAACUACGUG
rnacentral:rRNA from 1 species